rnacentral:rRNA from 1 species
AGAGUUUGAUCCUGGCUCAGGAUGAACGCUGGCGGCGUGCCUAAUACAUGCAAGUCGAGCGAACCACUUCGGUGGUGAGCGGCGAACGGGUGAGUAACACGUAGGUGAUCUGCCCAUCAGACGGGGACAACGAUUGGAAACGAUCGCUAAUACCGGAUAGGACGAAAGUUUAAAGGUGCUUCUGGCACCGCUGAUGGAUGAGCCUGCGGCGCAUUAGCUAGUUGGUAGGGUAAAGGCCUACCAAGGCGACGAUGCGUAGCCGACCUGAGAGGGUGAACGGCCACACUGGGACUGAGACACGGCCCAGACUCCUACGGGAGGCAGCAGUAGGGAAUCUUCGGCAAUGGGCGAAAGCCUGACCGAGCAACGCCGCGUGAAUGAUGAAGGCCUUCGGGUUGUAAAAUUCUGUUAUAAGGGAAGAAUGGCUCUAGUAGGAAAUGGCUAGAGUGUGACGGUACCUUAUGAGAAAGCCACGGCUAACUACGUGCCAGCAGCCGCGGUAAU